rnacentral:rRNA from 1 species
GACGAACGCUGGCGGCGUGCCUAAUACAUGCAAGUCGAACAGUGGCGAACGGGUGAGUAACACGUGAGUAACCUGCCCUCCACUUUGGGAUAACUCCGAGAAAUCGGGGCUAAUAAUGGAUAGUGGGGGAUGGGCGCGCGGCCUAUCAGUUUGUUGGUGAGGUAGUGGCCACCAAGGCGUGGCGGGUAGACGGCCUGAGAGGGCGACCGGCAACACGGGGACUGAGAGACGGCCCAGACUCCUACGGGGGGCAGCAGUGGGGAAUAUUGCACAAUUGGCGAAAGCCUGAUGCAGCGACGCCGCGUGGGGGAUGACGGCCUUCGGGUUGUAAACCUCUUUCAGCAAGGAAGCGGUACUUGCAGAAGAAGCGCCGGCUAACUACGUGACAGCAGCCGCGGUAAUUC